GUAUUAAGGUAAAUGUAGAUUUUUGAGUGGUCAGAAGAGUGUUGAACUACUUUUCGGCAUCUCAAGCAGUACCUCGAAUCCUCUUCACUUCUCUCCAAGCUAAAAGAAAGUGAGCAGUUAUUUUUGUACUUAGCUAUCUCACUCGAUGCUAUUAGCUUGAUCUUGGUCCAAGAAUAUACAGGGACCCAAAAGUCGAUUUACUG
rnacentral:lncRNA from 1 species